CUCAGUUCGGAUUGGAGUCUGNAACCCGACUCCAUGAAGCUGGAUUCGCUAGUAAUCGCGCAUCAGCCACGGCGCGGUGAAUACGUUCCCGGGCCUUGUACACACCGCCCGUCAAGCCAUGGGAGCCGGGAGUGCCUGAAGUACGUGACCGCAAGGAGCGUCCUAGGGUAAGACCGGUGACUGGGGCUAAGUCGUAACAAGGUAAC
rnacentral:rRNA from 1 species